UACGUAGGGGCCAAGCGUUGUCCGGAUUUAUUGGGCGUAAAGAGCGUGUAGGCGGCCAAGUAGGUCCGGUGUGAAAACUCGAGGCUUAACCUCGAGAUGUCAUCGGAAACCAUUUGGCUAGAGUCCGGAAGAGGAAAGUGGAAUUCCCAGUGUAGCGGUGAAAUGCGUAGAUAUUGGGAGGAACACCAGUGGCGAAGGCGGCUACCUGGACCGGUUCUGACGCUGAUGCGCGAAAGCGUGGGUAGCAAACAGG
rnacentral:rRNA from 1 species